rnacentral:rRNA from 1 species
CGUACCUUUUGUAUAAUGGGUCAGCGACUUAUAUUCUGUAGCAAGGUUAACCGAAUAGGGGAGCCGAAGGGAAACCGAGUCUUAACUGGGCGUUAAGUUGCAGGGUAUAGACCCGAAACCCGGUGAUCUAGCCAUGGGCAGGUUGAAGGUUGGGUAACACUAACUGGAGGACCGAACCGACUAAUGUUGAAAAAUUAGCGGAUGACUUGUGGCUGGGGGUGAAAGGCCAAUCAAACCGGGAGAUAGCUGGUUCUCCCCGAAAGCUAUUUAGGUAGCGCCUCGUGAAUUCAUCUCCGGGGGUAGAGCACUGUUUCGGCAAGGGGGUCAUCCCGACUUACCAACCCGAUGCAAACUGCGAAUACCGGAGAAUGUUAUCACGGGAGACACACGGCGGGUGCUAACGUCCGUCGUGAAGAGGGAAACAACCCAGACCGCCAGCUAAGGUCCCAAAGUCAUGGUUAAGUGGGAAACGAUGUGGGAAGGCCCAGACAGCCAGGAUGUUGGCUUAGAAGCAGCCAUCAUUUAAAGAAAGCGUAAUAGCUCACUGGUCGAGUCGGCCUGCGCGGAAGAUGUAACGGGGCUAAACCAUG